CCCUCUUUUUACUUCCAAAAUGUUGGGAGGUAUGGGGUCUAGAUUAGCUGAGUGACACGGCUAAUAGGAUGAGGUGCGCGGAUGGAUACCGUUAUUAUCAGGCACAUGCCAAGUAGUGCGUAAGAAACAGAUAGGCUGCUACAGAUAUCAGGCGGGACAGUUGUGUUUCUAUGGGUCCCCUUUAACCCAAACUAAAACCUGCCUCUCAAGUAGUUUUGCAGGUGGCUCACAGAUCAUAUACCGAAACCCACAGCAAUUUGUAAGCCAUUUUGAACUGAACCUUCUUUACCUCAUGAAUCAGCGGUUCUUCAAAAACAGUCCACAAAUGAAUGAACAGAAAUGUUGAAUAAACAGUCUCUAUGUAUCAUCUUACAGCAAAUGCCUACUUUCACCCCAAUGGUCCUGGAUUUGUGACUUGGGGACACUUCACUUCUGCUGCUUCCAUGGUGCCUUCAAAGAGAAGCUUAGGUCUUUUAGGACCUUUAGAAUUGUCUGUUUCCUCAGACACUUUACAAAGUCCUGAAGGACUUUGGCUGCAUCCAUCACCAGGCAAGGCCUUCUCUCUACAUAUGUUGAGUUGAUGUUUCCUUGGACAAUCACCUAUUUUUUUUAACUUCCCAUCUUUACACACCUCAUCUUUUUUAAUUGAAGGUGCAUUGGGCAUCUGUGAUGUUAUAUUGUGAGACACAAGGCAAAUGGUGUCAUUUCUGCUGGAAUCAGUUAAAUCUGUUUGGUCUUUUUUAUCUCUAAACUUUUGACAUUGAUCUACUGUAGUUUUGUUUGAAUCAAGAUCAGAAUGUAGCUUUUCAUCCACAGAUUCUUCUUGAUAUUUGGAUGCGCAACAAAAUUCUGCCAAGUAGCCAUCUACAAACAAAACAUAAGGCUAUCAAACCAACAAUCUAAUUGAAUAUUCAAUAAAAAAUAUUACUUUUA